rnacentral:rRNA from 1 species
AGAGUUUGAUCAUGGCUCAGAACGAACGCUGGCGGCGUGGAUAAGACAUGCAAGUCGAACGGGAUUACUUUUGGUAGCAAUACCGAGAGUGAUUCAGUGGCGAACGGGUGCGUAACACGUGGGCAAUCUGCCGAGAAGUGGGGGAUAGCUCGCCGAAAGGCGAAUUAAUACCGCAUGUGAUCAGAGGCGACAUCGCUUCGAAAUCAAAGGUGGCGCAAGCUACCGCUUUUUGAGGAGCCCGCGGCCUAUCAGCUUGUUGGUGAGGUAACGGCUCACCAAGGCGUUGACGGGUAGCUGGUCUGAGAGGACGACCAGUCACACUGGGACUGAGACACGGCCCAGACACCUACGGGUGGCAGCAGUCGAGAAUUUUUCUCAAUGGGGGAAACCCUGAAGGAGCGACGCCGCGUGGAGGAUGAAGGUCUUCGGGUUGUAAACUCCUGUCAUUUGGGAACAAGGUGCGCGCGUUAACUGCGCGCGUAUUGAUAGUACCAGAAGAGGAAGAGACGGCUAACUCUGUGCCAGCAGCCGCGGUAAUACAGAGGUCUCAAGCGUUGUUCGGAUUCAUUGGGCGUAAAGGGUGCGUAGGUGGCGUGGUAAGUCGGGUGUGAAAUUUCGGAGCUUAACUCCGAAACUGCAUUCGAUACUGCCGUGCUUGAGGACUGGAGAGGAGACUGGAAUUUACGGUGUAGCAGUGAAAUGCGUAGAGAUCGUAAGGAAGACCAGUGGCGAAGGCGGGUCUCUGGACAGUUCCUGACACUGAGGCACGAAGGCCAGGGGAGCAAACGGGAUUAGAUACCCCAGUAGUCC